rnacentral:rRNA from 1 species
GCUUACGGCCAUACCAACCUGGCUAUGCCUGAUCUCGUCUGCUCUCGGAAGCUAAGCAGGUUUGGGCCUGGUUAGUACUUGGAUGGGAGACCGCCUGUGAAUACCAGGUGCUGUAAGCU